rnacentral:rRNA from 1 species
AAUAUUGGACAAGGGGGGCAACCCUGAUCCAGCCAUGCCGCGUGUGUGAAGAAGGUCUUCGGAUUGUAAAGCACUUGAAUUAGGGAGGAAGGGCUUCCGGUUAAAACGCGGAAGUAUUGACGUUACCGACAGAAUAAGCACCGGCUAACUCUGUCCCAUCAGCCACGGGAAUACAGAGGGUGCAAGCGUUAAUCGGAAUUACUGGGCGUAAAGCGCGCGUAGGUGGUUCAGUAAGAUGGGUGUGAAAUCCCCGGGCUUAACCUGGGAACUGCUUUCAUAACUGCUGGGCUAGAGUACGGUAGAGGGUAGUGGAAUUUCCUGUGUAGCGGUGAAAUGCGUAGAUAUAGGAAGGAACACCAGUGGCGAAGGCGACUACCUGGACUGAUACUGACACUGAGGUGCGAAAGCGUGGGGAGCAAACA